rnacentral:rRNA from 1 species
UGGGGAAUAUUGCACAAUGGGCGCAAGCCUGAUGCAGCCAUGCCGCGUGUAUGUAGAAGGCCUUCGGGUUGUAAAGUACUUUCAGUCGGGAGGAAGGUGUCAAGGUUAAUAACCUUGGCAAUUGACGUUACCGACAGAAGAAGCACCGGCUAACUCCGUGCCAGCAGCCGCGGUAAUACGGAGGGUGCAAGCGUUAAUCGGAAUUACUGGGCGUAAAGCGCACGCAGGCGGUUGAUUGAGUCAGAUGUGAAAUCCCCGGGCUUAACCCGGGAAUUGCAUCUGAUACUGGUCAGCUAGAGUCUUGUAGAGGGGGGUAGAAUUCCAUGUGUAGCGGUGAAAUGCGUAGAGAUGUGGAGGAAUACCGGUGGCGAAGGCGGCCCCCUGGACAAAGACUGACGCUCAGGUGCGAAAGCGUGGGGAGCAAACAGG